rnacentral:rRNA from 1 species
CCUACGGGAGGCAGCAGUAGGGAAUUUUCGUCAAUGGGCGCAAGCCUGAACGAGCGAUGCCGCGUGAGUGAAGAAGGCCUUCGGGUCGUAAAGCUCUGUUGCGGGGGAAAAAAGGCAGCAUCAGGAAAUGGGUGCUGACUGAUGGUGCCCCGCCAGAAAGACACGGCUAACUACGUGCCAGCAGCCGCGGUAAGACGGAGGUGUCGAGCGUUAUCCGGAAGGAUUGGGCGUAAGGGGUGCGCAGGCGGUCCUGCAAGUCUGGAGUGAAACGCAUGAGCUCAACUCAUGCAUGGCUUUGGAAACUGGAGGACUGGAGAGCAGGAGAGGGCGGUGGAACUCCAUGUGUAGCGGUAAAAUGCGUAGAUAUAUGGAAGAACACCAGUGGCGAAGGCGGCCGCCUGGCCUGUUGCUGACGCUGAGGCACGAAAGCGUGGGGAGCAAAUAGGAUUAGAUACCCGGGUAGUC